AGUGAACGCUGGCGGUAGGCCUAACACAUGCAAGUCGAACGGCAGCACAGUAAGAGCUUGCUCUUACGGGUGGCGAGUGGCGGACGGGUGAGGAAUACUUCGGAAUCUACUUUUUCGUGGGGGAUAACGUAGGGAAACUUACGCUAAUACCGCAUACGACCUACGGGUGAAAGCAGGGGAUCUUCGGACCUUGCGCGAUUGAAUGAGCCGAUGUCGGAUUAGCUAGUUGGCGGGGUAAAGGCCCACCAAGGCGACGAUCCGUAGCUGGUCUGAGAGGAUGAUCAGCCACACUGGAACUGAGACACGGUCCAGACUCCUACGGGAGGCAGCAGUGGGGAAUAUUGGACAAUGGGCGCAAGCCUGAUCCAGCCAUACCGCGUGGGUGAAGAAGGCCUUCGGGUUGUAAAGCCCUUUUGCUGGGAAAGAAAAGCAGCAGGUUAAUACCCCGCUGUUCUGACGGUACCCAAAGAAUAAGCACCGGCUAACUUCGUG
rnacentral:rRNA from 1 species